rnacentral:rRNA from 1 species
AACGAACGCUGGCGGCAGGCUUAACACAUGCAAGUCGAACGCCCCGCAAGGGGAGUGGCAGACGGGUGAAUAACGCGUGGGAAUCUACCUAGUUCUACGGAACAACAGUUGGAAACGACUGCUAAUACCGUAUACGCCCUACGGGGGAAAGAUUUAUCGGAAUUAGAUGAGCCCGCGUAAGAUUAGCUAGUUGGUGAGGU